CUACAGGUCACUGAAACCGCAGAAAGUAAAACUGAGGAUAAACAGACACUAUUGCAAUGAAGUAAUGUGCCAAUGGCACUCACCAAAGAAGAUGUAUCAAUGGCAAUUAAGCACAUAAGAGAUGCUCAACAUUAUCAGUCAUUGGGAAAUUGUAAAUUAAGACAACAAUGAGACACUACUUCGGAUCCAUUAAGACAUUUCUACAUUUAUCAAGAAGUUGUCACCUGACUCAGUCUUCUUCAACAGCCUAAAUAACAAAGCACAGUGCCUGUCACCUGUUAAGCAUUCCAGGUAAGCUAUUUUAAAAAGCCACAUGAAUAAAUACUUCUAAAAUUAUUAUUUUAAAAAAUGUAUCAUACGAACACUCAAUAAAUCUG